UACGUAGGGUGCAAGCGUUUAAUCGGAAUUACUGGGCGUAAAGCGUGCGCAGGCGGUGAUGUAAGACAGUUGUGAAAUCCCCGGGCUCAACCUGGGAACUGCAUCUGUGACUGCAUCGCUGGAGUGCGGCAGAGGGGGGAUGGAAUUCCGCGUGUAGCAGUGAAAUGCGUAGAUAUGCGGAGGAACACCGAUGGCGAAGGCAAUCCCCUGGGCCUGCACUGACGCUCAUGCACGAAAGCGUGGGGAUCAAACAGG
rnacentral:rRNA from 1 species